AUGGACCUCACUUCUUCUAACCACUGUAAAUGGGGAGGAGUUACAUGCAAAGAUGGUUUGGUCACUGCCAUUUCCCUUCCACGGCAAACCUUUAGGAAACCAAUCCCACCGUCCCUUUGCCUCCUCAAGAAUCUUACCUACUUGGACCUCUCCUACAAUAACUUCUCCACUUCAUUCCCUACCAUACUCUACAAUUGCUCCAAUCUGAAGUACCUAGACCUUUCCAACAAUGCCUUUGGUGGGAAACUCGCAGCUGACAUAAACAGUUUAUCAGCAAAGCUCGAGCAUCUCAACUUAUCAAGCAAUCGUAUCAUGGGGGAAAUUCCACCAUCGAUUGGAUGGUUUCCAAAGCUCAAGUCGCUGCUCCUCGACACCAACCAGUUUGACGGAAGUUAUCCAGCAAAGGACAUCAGCAAUCUGGCCAACCUCGAGGUGCUGACACUAGCGGAAAAUCCAUUUCUGCCAGCUCCAUUUCAAGUUGAGCUUGGCAAGUUGACACGCCUCACAUACUUGUGGCUGUCAGGUAUGAACAUGACAGGUGAGAUCCCUGAGAGCCUGUCAAGCCUCACAGAGCUCAGUCUGUUGAGUGUGUCAAAUAAUAUGCUGCAAGGCACAAUUCCGACAUGGGUAUGGCAGCAUAAGAAGCUUCAGUACUUGUACAUGUUUGCCAACAGUUUCACAGGCGAGAUUUCCUCCAGUGUCACCGCCGUAAACUUGGUAGAGCUUGAUGUGUCCUCAAACAAUCUGACAGGGACAAUACCAGAUGACUUUGGUAGGCUCAUCAACCUUACCAUGUUGUUUCUCUACACGAAUCAACUUCAUGGGUCAAUACCGCCAAGCAUUGGGUUGCUGCCGAAUCUCAGCGAUAUACGGCUAUUUGAGAACAUGUUAUCUGGUUCCCUUCCACCAGAGCUUGGUAAGCACUCACCACUAGGUAAUCUUGAGGUCUGCAACAAUAACCUCUCGGGCGAGCUGCCAGCUGAUCUUUGCUCCAACAGGAAGUUAUAUGACAUCGUUGUGUUCAAUAAUAACUUUUAUGGAAAGCUUCCACAAUCGCUAGACGGCUGCUACCGGUUGAACAAUUUAAUGCUGUACAACAAUCAUUUUACUGGAGAGUUCCCCAAGAGCAUCUGGUCAGUGGUGACAAAUGAGCUAACGACAGUUAUGAUCCAAAACAACAAUUUCUCUGGGACCUUUCCUACCCAGCUUCCAUGGAACUUUACACGUCUUGAGAUGAGCAAUAAUAGAUUCUCUGGUCCCAUUCCGACUUUAGCAGGCAAAAUCGAAGUAUUCAGGGCAGCAAACAACUCUCUUUGUGGCGAAAUUCCCUGGAAUUUGAUGGGUAUUUCACAGGUAACAGAACUUGACCUUUCUGGAAAUCAAAUUACUGGAUCAAUACCCAUGACAAUUGGAGUGCUAAAGCUCAAUGCACUUAAUCUAAGUGGAAAUCAGAUAUCUGGUACUAUACCUGCAGCGUUUGGAUUUACGUCAGGGCUAACCAUCCUUGACCUCUCCUCGAAUGCGCUAUCUGGCGAGAUCCCAAAAGCGAUCAAUAAGUUGAAACUGAACUUUCUAAACCUCUCCAUGAAUCAACUCACGGGGGAAAUUCCAACAUCAUUGCAAAACGAAGCAUAUGAGCGAAGCUUCCUCUUCAAUCCAGGCCUCUGUGUCUCAUCGAAUAAUUCCAUCCCUAAUUUCCCGAUUUGCAGUGCAAGAGCAAAUAACAACAAUGAUAUCUCCAGGAGGCUUAUAGCCCUCUUUCUUGUUCUUGCCAGUAUCAUGCUUGUGGGUUCGGCAGUUGGUGGUUUCUUGCUAUUAAAGAGGCAAAAGAAUACCCAAGAUCCUCUAUCAUGGAAGCUGACCCAGUUCCAUGCACUGCAUUUCACAGAGUAUGAUGUUCUUUCUGGGCUCUGUGAGCAGAACUGGAUUGGAAGUGGCAGGUCUGGCAAGGUGUACCGAAUUAGUGUUGUGGAUGGAGAAGGUGGUAGUAGAAUGGUGGCUGUUAAAAAGAUAUGGAACGCCCAGAACCUUGACAGCAAGCUCGAGAAGGACUUCCUUGCAGAGGUCCAGAUAUUGGGUGAGAUCCGGCACAUAAACAUUGUCAAGCUGCUCUGCUGCAUCUCAAGCUCAGAGGCAAAGCUUCUUGUCUAUGAGUACAUGGAAAAUGGUAGCUUAGACAGGUGGCUCCAUCAGAGGGAUAGAGUUGGUUCACUGGCACCUUUGGAUUGGCCCACCAGAUUGCAAAUUGCCAUCGACUCGGCAAGAGGUCUCUGCUAUAUGCACCAUGAUAGUUCACCCGCCAUAGUGCACUGUGAUGUCAAGUCUGCCAAUAUCCUUCUGGACCCCGAGUUCAGAGCAAAGAUAGCUGACUUCGGGCUUGCUCGGAUUCUUCUCAAAACCGGAGAUCCUGAGUCAAUUUCUGGCAUAGGUGGUACCUUUGGCUACAUGGCACCAGAGUACGGAUACCGGCUUAAGGUGAAUGAGAAGGUCGAUGUCUACAGCUUCGGAGUGGUUCUGUUGGAGCUCACAACGGGGAGGGUGGCAAAUGAUGGAGGCUUGGAGUACUGCUUGGCAGAAUGGGCAUGGAGACAGUAUCAAGAGUAUGGCCUGUCAAUUGAUCUUCUUGAUGAAGACAUUCGAGAUCCAGCCAACAUUGAAGAUGCAUUCGCAGUGUUUACGCUAGGUGUGAUCUGUACAGGUGGGCAGCCUUCAGUGCGGCCAUCAAUGAAGGAUGUGCUGUACGCUCUUCUCCGGUUUGAACAUAAAUCCAGGGAAAGAAGCCCGCAGCAUGUUGUCUCUGAAGAAAUGUCACUUCUAGAAUCCUAG
rnacentral:rRNA from 1 species